UUUGAGCGACCCGAGCAGCAGCGGGCGAUCCGCGGGCCGGUCCCGGCCGUAGGUGGCGAGCAGGGCCUGCGCCUC
rnacentral:antisense_RNA from 1 species